UACGAAGGGGGCUAGCGUUGCUCGGAAUCACUGGGCGUAAAGGGUGCGUAGGCGGGUCUUUAAGUCAGGGGUGAAAUCCUGGAGCUCAACUCCAGAACUGCCUUUGAUACUGAAGAUCUUGAGUUCGGGAGAGGUGAGUGGAACUGCGAGUGUAGAGGUGAAAUUCGUAGAUAUUCGCAAGAACACCAGUGGCGAAGGCGGCUCACUGGCCCGAUACUGGCGCUGAGGCACGAAGGCGUGGGGAGCAAACAGG
rnacentral:rRNA from 1 species